rnacentral:lncRNA from 1 species
GUGGUUCCGGCAUGUCUGUCAGGUUGUUCUGGUGUAUAAGUAGCCUGGUUCCAGCGUAUCCAGCUGGUGAUUUCGGCAUAUCUGGAAGGUGGUUCUGGCAAGUGAAGCAGGUGGUUGCAGCAUGUCCGGCAGGUGGUUCAGGCCUGUUCGUAAGGUGGUUUCGGCACAUCCAGCACCUGGUUUUGGCAUAUCUGACAUGUGCUUCUGGUGUGCCCGGCAUGUGGUUCCAGCUUGUCCAUUAUGUGGUUCAGGCAUUUCCGGCAGGUUGUUCAGUCUUGUCUGGCUGGUGGUUCAGCUUUGUCUGCCAGGUGAUUCCAGCAUGUCUCACCAGUGGUACUGGCGUGUCGUUCAGGUGGUUCCAGCAUGUCAGGCAUGGUGUUCCUGUGUGUCUGGCACGAGUUUUCAGUAUGUCCAGAAGGUGGUUCCGGUGUGUCUGGUGGGUGCUUCUGAGAUGUCCGGAAGUUGGUUCCUGCAUGUCUGGAGGGUGAUUCCGGUGUGUCUGGGACCUGAUUCCGUCGUGUUGGGUUGGUUGUUUCUGCGUGUCUGGGUGGUGGUUCUGAUGUGUCCGGCAGGGUUUUCUGGCCAGACCGGAAGUAGUUUCUGGUGUAUGUGUGACCUGAUACUGGUGUAUCCGGCAGGUGAUUUCAGUGUGUCCAGCAGGUUGUUCUGGCAUGUCUGGAAGUUUGUUCCAGCUUGUCCGGCAGGUGGUUCUGGCAUGUCCUGCACCUGGUUCUGGCAUAUCCGGCAGGUGGUUUCAUGUUGUCUGGCACCUGGUUCCACUGUAUCCAUCUUGUGGUUCCAGCUUGUUAGGCAGGUGGUCCUGGCUGUCAGGCAUGUGUUUCCAGUGUGUCUGUCUGGUUGUUCAGCCGUGUUUGUUGGGAGGAUCAGUGUUGUCCAGCAGGUGGAUCAGUCUUUUCUGGCAGUUUGUUGCAGCAUGUCUGGGGGUGGGUCUGGCAUGUCCAGCAGGUGGUUCCAUUGUGUCCAGUGAGUGAUUCCGGCGGUUCC